GAUGAACGCUGGCGGCGUGCCUAAUACAUGCAAGUCGAGCGAACAGACGAGGAGCUUGCUCCUCUGACGUUAGCGGCGGACGGGUGAGUAACACGUGGAUAACCUACCUAUAAGACUGGGAUAACUUCGGGAAACCGGAGCUAAUACCGGAUAACAUGUUGAACCGCAUGGUUCAACAGUGAAAGACGGUCUUGCUGUCACUUAUAGAUGGAUCCGCGCCGCAUUAGCUAGUUGGUAAGGUAACGGCUUACCAAGGCAACGAUGCGUAGCCGACCUGAGAGGGUGAUCGGCCACACUGGAACUGAGACACGGUCCAGACUCCUACGGGAGGCAGCAGUAGGGAAUCUUCCGCAAUGGGCGAAAGCCUUACGGAGCAACGCCGCGUGAGUGAAGAAGGUCUUCGGAUCGUAAAACUCUGUUAUUAGGGAAGAACAAAUGUGUAAGUAACUAUGCACGUCUUGACGGUACCUAAUCAGAAAGCCACGGCUAACUACGUG
rnacentral:rRNA from 1 species